AUAAACGAGUUAGUCAAGGUUAUUGAGAAGUCAGACAUGACAAAGUCAAUCAAAGCAUUAAAGAGGCCUUUUAGAGUGAUACCAAAAGCAAAUCAGUGAGGGCUUUAUCCCAAGUGGACAAUAUCUUACCAGUGUGAAGAUCUAUGUUUGUGUGUUAAACCUCACUACAAAUGGUAUCAGAGCCCAUGGUUCAGGUCUGGUUGAUGAGUCGAUAUUUUAUUGAUUUCACUUAGUUUAUUGUGCUAGAAUUAAUUAGGGAAAUAUGCUUAAUGGUAUCAGUAGUCACCUUAAAGGCAUUCACUCUCUCGGUAUUUUUAAGAAAGGGGCAGCCACACAUUCAUUUUGGACUCUCUCGGCUGCUGCAAUAUUUUUGAAAGGGGAGGAUUUUGAACGUUUUUUUUGUGAGCUUUUAUUUGAAUCAUGUGGAUAUUCUUGGAUUUUGGAUAAAAAGAUGGUGCCAGCCACCCCUUUCUUUUUGGGUAUUUUGAACAUUUUUUUUACACNGUUAUUUUGCUUGGAACCAUGUUUUUUGUUUUUCUUUUUUAUUUUGGAUGAAUGAAAGAAGAUUGUUUUUAUUCUUCAAGAAGCAGAGCGCUGAUUUCUCAUUGCCUUUGCAUUUGUUUUUUUUUCUUACGCCUUUUUAUUGAAGCUUUGGUGCAGCCGUCACGUUUAGAGAAGAUUUUUAAUUUUUUUCUUAGCUUUGCUUGGUCCAACAAAUGGCGUCACAUCAUCCUGCAAUGGUAGCUAGGGGUUUAGUUUUUGCUUCUAGGUUUGAACUAAAGAAAAAGGAGUUUUACAAUGUUUUUGUCUAAAGCUUCAUUGAAUGAACGGUGCAGUACGNUGACACCAUGGCUUUGGGAUAGGAUUUGGUUUCAAUCAACAAAUUUCAUUUUUCUUUUUAUUAGUUAACAUGCACUCGGUGAUUAAUUAUUGAAGAUUGCCUUUCUUUUCCUUUAAGAUUGAAGAGUGAUUUGAUGGAGUAAGUGUAGGUGUUUGGUGCUGGGAUUUAAUUUUUAUGCCAUUUAUUUAUUUCUUCCAAAAGUAGUCCACGGUUUGCUUCAUUAAUUU
rnacentral:lncRNA from 1 species